GCCGACUUAGCUCAGUUGGCAGAGCACCGCUCUUGUAAAGCGGGGGUCGGAGGUUCGAACCCUCUAGUCGGCA
rfam:Oenococcus kitaharae DSM 17330 chromosome, whole genome shotgun sequence.